rnacentral:rRNA from 1 species
GACGAACGCUGGCGGCGUGCUUAACACAUGCAAGUCGAACGACGUGGCGAACGGGUGAGUAACGUGUAAUCAACCUGCCCUUCAGUGGGGGACACUAGUUGGAAACGACUGCUAAUCCCGCAUACUGAUGGUGGUGUUUGCGUCUGAUUAGCUAGUUGGAUGGGUAACGGCCCACUAAGGCGAUGAUCAGUAGCCGGUCUGAGAGGAGGAACGGCCAAAUUGGGACUGAGACACGGCCCAGACUCCUACGGGAGGCAGCAGUGGGGAAUCUUCCGGAAUGGACGAAAGUCUGACGGAGCAACGCCGCGGGAGUGAUGACGGCCUUCGGGUUGGAAAGCUCUGUUAAUCGGGACGUGGUACCGGAAUAGAAAGCCACGGCUAACUACGUGCCAGCAGCCGCGGUAAUAC